UCCAUUCCACAUCCUUAAUGUGUAUAACACACUUAAACAACAUUAACCAUAAUUUCAAUAUUCACUAACAUGUAUAUUCAAAGCUGUUUAUCCAAGUCAGAGUCACUAAAUUAUUUUUAUCCGGAGCUACAGAGCUCCAAAUUAAGAUCUGUUAAUUUUCCCUGAAACUAGACUCACAUAUCUUCAUACCAUAAAAUUUUCAGAAUUUUUGGUUCAGCCAAAUAGUACAGUUUAUUCUUUAAAGUUUCCCCUGUUUCGCUGUCUGACAGUUCCGACCACUCUUCACUAAAAAUUAAUUAUCUCAUUGUACAGAAUUCGGAUGAUGUUUUAGCUUGUUUCUUCUAAAAAUAUACUCAUUAAGGAUUCUAACCAUAUAAACUAUAACUCAUAAUCAUUUUUUUACAAUUUUUAAUGAUUUUUCAAAGUCAGAACAGGGGAACCCGAAUUCAUUCUGACCUUGUCUCACAAAAUCUAUUAUAUCUCAUGAUUUACAAUUCCAUUGCUCACAUCAUUUCUUUUAUAAGAAACUAGACUCAAUAAGCUUUAGUUUCAUAUUUUAUUCAUCCUCUAAUUCAAUCUCUACAAUUUUUGGUGAUUUUUCAAAGUUACACUACUGCUGCUGUCCAAAACUGCUUUAGUGCAAAAUGUUGAUUUCCAUUUUGCCCCAAAUUUCACAGUUUAUACAAUUCGGUCCUUUCUCAAUUAACCCCUCAAUUAAUCUAAUUUUCUCAAUUAGUACUUUACUAGACAUUAUAAGUUGUUACACAACUAUUGAAAUUCAGAAUUUCCACAUAUAACUCUAUCUUCAAACUCUUUUACUAUUAGGUCCCAAACAUUCACUUUCUAUUCAAUUCUUUCAAUAAAAUCAGCAUAUGAACAAUUUAAAGCUCUAAUUUCAUGCUAAAUCAUCAUAUACUUCCAGCACAUAUUCAUAUCAACUUUCAACUUCUUUCAUAAAAUCAAAAACUAAUGAAUUUAACAAGUGGGCCUAGUUGUAAAAGUCAUAAAAAUACAAAAAUUUCAAGAAAUAGUCAAGAAUUGAACUUACUUGUAAUAAAAAUAUGAAGAACCAGCUUGAAUAAGCC
rnacentral:lncRNA from 1 species